rnacentral:sRNA from 1 species
CCCUAGCCCUGAUAGAAGCGACAUCCUUUUUCUGGCUUCUUUAGCCAGAAAAAGAUACAGCGGAUAGCAGGAAUCAGC